CAGCAUGAUUUCAAGGGCUAUGUCUGCUUGUGGCCAAGGGACUUCCUACUGCAUGCGACUGCAAUGUGGACAGGUACUGACAGCUUGGAUCAGCACCUUAUCUGCAACUUAAUGCACCUUUUUUAUAAAG
rnacentral:snoRNA from 1 species